GUACUCGUGGCACAGUAGGUUAGAGCGUUUGACUUAUAAACAACAGGUCAUGGGUUCGAGCCUCGAGUGCA
rnacentral:tRNA from 1 species